UACGAAGGGGGCUAGCGUUGCUCGGAAUCACUGGGCGUAAAGGGUGCGUAGGCGGGUCUGCAAGUCGGGGGUGAAAUCCCGAGGCUCAACCUCGGAACUGCCUUCGAUACUGCGGGUCUCGAGUCCGGGAGAGGUGAGUGGAAUUCCUAGUGUAGAGGUGAAAUUCGUAGAUAUUAGGAAGAACACCAGUGGCGAAGGCGGCUCACUGGCCCGGUACUGACGCUGAGGCGCGAAAGCGUGGGGAGCAAACAGG
rnacentral:rRNA from 1 species